rnacentral:rRNA from 1 species
GAUGAACGCUGGCGGCGUGCCUAAUACAUGCAAGUCGAGCGAACAGACGAGGAGCUUGCUCCUCUGACGUUAGCGGCGGACGGGUGAGUAACACGUGGAUAACCUACCUAUAAGACUGGGAUAACUUCGGGAAACCGGAGCUAAUACCGGAUAACAUGUUGAACCGCAUGGUUCAACAGUGAAAGACGGUCUUGCUGUCACUUAUAGAUGGAUCCGCGCCGCAUUAGCUAGUUGGUAAGGUAACGGCUUACCAAGGCAACGAUGCGUAGCCGACCUGAGAGGGUGAUCGGCCACACUGGAACUGAGACACGGUCCAGACUCCUACGGGAGGCAGCAGUAGGGAAUCUGCCGCAAUGGGCGAAAGCCUGACGGAGCAACGCCGCGUGAGUGAAGAAGGUCUUCGGAUCGUAAAACUCUGUUAUUAGGGAAGAACAAAUGUGUAAGUAACUAUGCACGUCUUGACGGUACCUAAUCAGAAAGCCACGGCUAACUACGUG